CGGUGAUGUCUCCUGACCGCUAUCAAUGGAAAUACUCGGCUUUGCUGCGGGUCUUUGAAAAAAGAGGCCUUAGGUACCAUGUGUUACCAAUGGUGAAGUGUGAGGACAGGUUGGAUGCCUG
rfam:Bacillus beveridgei strain MLTeJB, complete genome.